rnacentral:rRNA from 1 species
AGAGUUUGAUCAUGGCUCAGGAUGAACGCUGGCGGCGUGCUUAACACAUGCAAGUCGAGCGAGAAGCUUCGGACCAAGGUUUCGAUCAAGGGAAGAAGCGGACAGCGGCGGACGGGUGAGUAACGCGUAGGCAACCUGCCUCAUACUGAGGGAUAGCCUCGGGAAACCGGGAUUAAUACCUCAUAAAGCAUGGAGAUCAUAAGAUUUCCCUGCCAAAGAUUUAUCGGUAUGAGAUGGGCCUGCGUCUGAUUAGCUAGUUGGUAGGGUAACGGCUUACCAAGGCGACGAUCAGUAGCCGACCUGAGAGGGUAACCGGCCACAUUGGAACUGAGACACGGUCCAAACUCCUACGGGAGGCAGCAGUGGGGAAUAUUGCACAAUGGGCGAAAGCCUGAUGCAGCAACGCCGCGUGAGCGAAGAAGGCCUUUGGGUCGUAAAGCUCUGUCCUUGGGGAAGAAACAAAUGACGGUACCCAAGGAGGAAGCCCCGGCUAACUACGUGCCAGCAGCCGCGGUAAUACGUAGGGGGCAAGCGUUAUCCGGAAUUAUUGGGCGUAAAGAGUACGUAGGCGGUUAUUUAAGCGUGGGGUGAAAGGCUAUGGCUUAACCAUAGUAAGCCUUGCGAACUGGGUAACUUGAGUGCAGGAGAGGAAAGCGGAAUUCCUAGUGUAGCGGUGAAAUGCGUAGAUAUUAGGAGGAACACCAGUGGCGAAGGCGGCUUUCUGGACUGUAACUGACGCUGAGGUACGAAAGCGUGGGUAGCGAACAGGAUUAGAUACCCUGGUAGUCCACGCCGUAAACGAUGAGCACUAGGUGUCGGGAUCGCGAGGUCUCGGUGCCGCAGUUAACGCAUUAAGUGCUCCGCCUGGGGAGUACGCACGCAAGUGUGAAACUCAAAGGAAUUGACGG